rnacentral:rRNA from 5 species
AAUCCAUAGGUUAAUGAGGCGAACCGGGGGAACUGAAACAUCUAAGUACCCCGAGGAAAAGAAAUCAACCGAGAUUCCCCCAGUAGCGGCGAGCGAACGGGGAGGAGCCCAGAGCCUGAAUCAGCAUGUGUGUUAGUGGAAGCGUCUGGAAAGGCGCGCGAUACAGGGUGACAGCCCCGUACACAAAAGCGCAUGUGCUGUGAGCUCGAUGAGUAGGGCGGGACACGUGGUAUCCUGUCUGAAUAUGGGGGGACCAUCCUCCAAGGCUAAAUACUCCUGACUGACCGAUAGUGAACCAGUACCGUGAGGGAAAGGCGAAAAGAACCCCGGCGAGGGGAGUGAAAAAGAACCUGAAACCGUGUACGUACAAGCAGUGGGAGCACAGGUUUACCUGUGUGACUGCGUACCUUUUGUAUAAUGGGUCAGCGACUUAUAUUCUGUAGCAAGGUUAACCGUAU